rnacentral:rRNA from 2 species
CACCGGCGGCCCGAGUGGUGGCCACUAUUAUUGGGUCUAAAGGGUCCGUAGCCGGUUUGGUCAGUCUUCCGGGAAAUCUGACGGCUUAACCGUUAGGCUUUCGGGGGAUACUACCAGGCUUGGGACCGGGAGAGGUAAGAGGUACUACGGGGGUAGGAGUGAAAUCUUGUAAUCCCUGUGGGACCACCAGUGGCGAAGGCGUCUUACCAGAACGGGUCCGACGGUGAGGGACGAAAGCUGGGGGCACGAACCGG